AGAUCCCACGCGGGAGAGAAUGGCGCAUGCCAUCGCCGAAGGCGCAACCGGCCCCCGGAAACGCUCAGGCAAAAGGGCCGCGUGGGGAAG
rnacentral:ncRNA from 2 species